rnacentral:lncRNA from 1 species
AGCAUCAUUUGUGGCAUAUUUUAGAUUAAGUAAACAUGAAAAGCAAUCCUGAUGAAUUAAUUUAUCUGGAUCCAAGAUCUCAUUUUCAAUUUUGUAUGUUCAAGACAAUGUAUUAUAAAAGUCAACCAUAAUAUCAAUAUUCUUAAUUUAUUCUAAGAAAUAAAGCUGUUUGCUACUUCUAAUUGUUUCCUUCUUCUAAUCAAUAUAUUUUCCUACAGGCAAACUAAUGAUCAUGUACUGGGAGGCAUGGUCUCAGAAUAAAGAAAUCAAUUACAUGAUUUAAUACCUAAUAUCAUCAAAUUCUGUUAAUCUGAUGCUUCAUUCACCACAGUGGAGCUGCCUCUACCAUUGAAUGCGAAGACAGCUGUUUCACUCAAGACCAAAAGAUUGAGGACUGGAGAGAUCUGUUAUCAAGAAACUGACUUGACCACAAGAACAAUUUACAGGUAUUACUUGAGCUCCUCAAGGAUGAAAUCCUACCUUUUACUUUUUUGGUUCCUUCUCCCACUCCUAAAAAACACAGACGAGUGGCUUAUUGAGUGAAGUUUAUAAUUGGUCAGUUUGAAAGAAUGAAAUGAGUAAAUGAUGAAUUUAAGCUAUUUCCUCAUAAUUUAGAGCCAUUACAUGAUUUCAAAGUUUUUUUGUUUGUUUGUUUGUUUGUUUGUUUUUCUAAAUCAGGGAUGGGGAGAGAAUCUUCUAAAUAUGUCAGCUAGAUCAGCAGCUUUCAGAUUUUAGCAUGCUUCAGAAUGAGCUGGAAUAUUUGUUAAAGUAGAUUUGAGGGGUUCCACGUGGAGUUUCCGAUUCAGGAGAUCUGGGGGUGGGGUGGGAACAAAACGUUUGUAGUUUUUAGCAAGUUCCCAGAGAUGUUUGUGGUGCUGAUCUAGAGACCACACAUCAUGAACCACUGAUCAGGUGAUAUAUUAAAACAUUAAAAACAGUGUGCUCUUCACAGAGAACAAUGCCAGAAUGUUUUGUUCUUGAAAUGCCCCAAAUAUCCUUCACUUCCCUUAGCCUAACAAAGCAGAAGGUGCUGGUAUUAUACAUCCUCAGUGCUGCCACCCACUCAGGGUGACCCUAGGUAAACCACAAAAUCUAUUUGCACUGAAGCUUCUUUUUAGGAAGGAAGGCAUGGUAACUCUCCUUUUUGGCAAACUCUUCCCAAAUUUUUUAGAAUGAAAACUGUG